ensembl:rRNA 5S_rRNA 5S ribosomal RNA
UGCCACAGCCAUAUCACCUUGCAGCUCAAGACUGGUUACUCACUGAUGCUGAAGCAGGGCUGAACCUGGUCAAUACCUGGAUGAGCGACCACAUGGGAAUACUAGGUUGCUGAUGAAA